GAUGAACACUAGCGGCGUGCCUAACACAUGCAAGUCGAACGGGAAUCUUCGGAUUCUAGUGGCGGACGGGUGAGUAACGCGUAAGAAUCUAACUUCAGGACGGGGACAACAGUUGGAAACGACUGCUAAUACCCGAUAUGCCGCAAGGUGAAACCUAAUUGGCCUGGAGAAGAGCUUGCGUCUGAUUAGCUAGUUGGUGGGGUAAGAGCCUACCAAGGCGACGAUCAGUAGCUGGUCUGAGAGGAUGAGCAGCCACACUGGGACUGAGACACGGCCCAGACUCCUACGGGAGGCAGCAGUGGGGAAUUUUUCCGCAAUGGGCGAAAGCCUGACGGAGCAAUACCGCGUGAGGGACGACGGCUUUUGGGUUGUAAACCCUCUUUUCCCUGGGAAGAAGAUCUGACGGUACCAGGGGAAUCAGCAUCGGCUAACUCCGUGCCAGCAGCCGCGGUAAU
rnacentral:rRNA from 1 species